rnacentral:rRNA from 1 species
UUCCGGUUGAUCCUGCCAGAGGUUAUUGCUAUCAGGGUUUGACUAAGCCAUGCGAGUCGAGAGGUGUAAGACCUCGGCAUACUGCUCAGUAACACAUGGAUAAUCUGCCCUUAGGUGGAGGAUAUCCCCGGGAAACUGGGACUAAUACUCCAUAGUGGAUAUAUGCUGGAAUGCUGUAUCCUCGAAAGAUUAAUCGCCUAAGGAUGAGUCUGUGCCCGAUUAGGUUGUUGGCGGGGUAACGGCCCACCAAGCCAUUGAUCGGUACGGGUUGUGGGAGCAAGAUCCCGGAGAUGGAUUCUGAGACAUGAAUCCAGGCCCUACGGGGCGCAGCAGGCGCGCAAACUUUACAAUGCGAGCAAUCGUGAUAAGGAAACCCUGAGUGCCUGUCGAUGCAGGCUGUUCAUAUAUCUAAAUCAUAUGUGAAGAAAGGGCAGGGCAAGACCGGUGCCAGCCGCCGCGGUAAUACCGGCUGCUCGAGUGAUAACCACUAUUACUGGGUUUAAAGCGUCCGUAGCUUGAUUGUUAGGUCUCUUGGGAAAUCUUCACGCUCAACGUGAAGGCGUCUAAGAGAUACCGGCAAUCUUGGAACUGGGAGAGGUAAACCGUACUUCGGGGGUAGGAGUGAAAUCUUGUAAUCCUCGAGGGACGACCUAUGGCGAAGGCAGUUUACCAGAACAGCUUCGACAGUGAGGGACGAAAGCUGGGGGAGCAAACGGGAUUAGAUACCCCGGUAGUCCCAGCCGUAAACAAUGUGCGUUAGGUCUGUCGGUAACCACGUGUUACUGAUGAGCCGAAGAGAAAUCGUGAAACGCACCACCUGGGAAGUACGGUCGCAAGGCUGAAACUUAAAGGAAUUGGCGGG